ACAUUUCUUUUAGAUUCUUUUAAAAGUAAAGUCUGCCCACUGUUUAAAUAAAGGGCCGCGGUAUUUUGACCGUGCAAAGGUAGCAUAAUCAUUAGUCUCUUAAUUAGGGAAUGGAAUGAACGGCUUAAUGAUUUUUUUCUUUAAUUAAUAAUUGCUUAUGAAAUUUGAUUUUAAGUGAAAAUACUUAAAUUUAUUGAAUAGACGAUAAGACCCUAUAGAAUUUUAUUUAUUUUUAUUAAAAAAAAUAAAUUUAAUUGGGGCAUUUAAAGAAUAAUUAAAAUUUCUUUUAAAUAAAAUUAAAAAUUAUCUUAAGUUAAAGAUUUUAAAAAAAUUACCUUAGGGAUAACAGCGUAAUUUAUUUUGAGAGUUCAUAUCGACAAAUUAGUUUGCGACCUCGAUGUUGAAUUAAAAUUCCUAAAUGGGGCAGAAUUUAUAUAAGGUAGUCUGUUCGACUAAGAAAUUUUUACAUGAUUUGAGU
rnacentral:rRNA from 1 species